CAGAGUGCGGACCCCCUCCGGGUCUAACCUCCCACCCGUGUCUUUUGAAUACCCUGUUGCUUUGGCGGGCCCACCGGGAAGCCCCCGGUCGCCGGGGGGCAUGACGCCCCCGGGUCCGCGCCCGCCAGAACACCCUGUGAACCCGAAUGAAGAUGGGCUGUCUGAGUGUAGCACGAUAAUUAUUUA
rnacentral:misc_RNA from 1 species